rnacentral:lncRNA from 1 species
UCUUCAGCUUCCAUAGGCAGGUUCUGCUUCCCUCAAACUUAGGAAAGGGCUUCAGAUGUGGAGCAGCCUAAAAGAAUGACACAUGCCCACUCUAAUUAGCUGGCCAAAUUAGUUCUACAGAAGAGAAGUACCAUGGGAUUUUGGAGCAGAAAGUGAUGAUUCUGAGGAGGCUUUAGAGGAGGGGAGAUUUGAUCAAGUCUUGAAGGAUGAGAAAGUUGGUAGGGUUGUAGGUAGGGAUAGGAGAAGGAUUUCGAGAGACACAUAUGGAAUGACAAUAUUAAGAAUGCUGAACUGGGGAAAACAAAUGCAAGCGCUGUGCUAGCAGGAAGGUCUGUGAUGUUUGCAGUAAAGCCAUUAUGAAGUCAAGAAUGGAGGUUCCAUUUUUAAAGAACUCAGAGGGGGUAGAUCUUGAUUGACAUCUCAUCUGGGGUCACCUGGUCUUCAACUGAGAGAUCUUUUGGUUCGCCACGGAUGCCCCUUGCAGUUAUGGAAGGGAACAUGCUCUUUUGCCUGCAGCCACAUAAGACAUGCCUUUGC